AGUGAACGCUGGCGGUAGGCCUAACACAUGCAAGUCGAACGGCAGCACAGUAAGAGCUUGCUCUUACGGGUGGCGAGUGGCGGACGGGUGAGGAAUACAUCGGAAUCUACUUUUUCGUGGGGGAUAACGUAGGGAAACUUACGCUAAUACCGCAUACGACCUACGGGUGAAAGCAGGGGAUCUUCGGACCUUGCACGAUUGAAUGAGCCGAUGUCGGAUUAGCUAGUUGGCGGGGUAAAGGCCCACCAAGGCGACGAUCCGUAGCUGGUCUGAGAGGAUGAUCAGCCACACUGGAACUGAGACACGGUCCAGACUCCUACGGGAGGCAGCAGUGGGGAAUAUUGGACAAUGGGCGCAAGCCUGAUCCAGCCAUACCGCGUGAGUGAAGAAGGCCUUCGGGUUGUAAAGCCCUUUUGUUGGGAAAGAAAAGCAGCAGGUUAAUCCCCCGCUGUUCUGACGGUACCCAAAGAAUAAGCACCGGCUAACUUCGUG
rnacentral:rRNA from 1 species